rnacentral:tRNA from 1 species
GCCUGGGUGGCUUAGUUGGUUAAGUGGCUGACUUCGGCUCAGGUUAUGAUCUCGCAGUUCGUGGGUUCAAGUCCCACGUCAGACU